UGGGGAAUUUUGGACAAUUGGGGAAACCCUGAUCCAGCCAUCCCGCGUGUUCGAUGAAGGCCUUCUGGUUGUAAAGCACUUUUGGCAGGAAAGAAACGUCAUGGGUUAAUACCCCGUUAAACUGACGGUACCUGCAGAAUAAGCACCGUCUAACUACGUGCCAGCAGCCGCGGUAAUACGUAGGUUGCAAGCGUUAAUCUGAAUUACUGGGCGUAAAGCGUGCGCAGGCGGUUCGGAAAGAAAGAUGUGAAAUCCCAGAGCUCAACUUUGGAACUGCAUUUUUAACGAACGGGCUAGAGUGUGUCAGAGGGAGGUGGAAUUCCGCGUGUAGCAGUGAAAUGCGUAGAUAUGAGGAGGAACAACGAUGGAGAAGGCAGCAUCAUGGGAUAACACUGACGCUCAUGAACGAAAGCGUGGGGAGCAAACAGG
rnacentral:rRNA from 1 species